rnacentral:rRNA from 1 species
CAGUCGCCACGGGAAUACAGAGGGUGCGAGCGUUAAUCGGAUUUACUGGGCGUAAAGCGUGCGUAGGCGGCUUCUUAAGUCGGAUGUGAAAUCCCUGAGCUUAACUUAGGAAUUGCAUUCGAUACUGGGAAGCUAGAGUAUGGGAGAGGAUGGUAGAAUUCCAGGUGUAGCGGUGAAAUGCGUAGAGAUCUGGAGGAAUACCGAUGGCGAAGGCAGCCAUCUGGCCUAAUACUGACGCUGAGGUACGAAAGCUAGGGGAGCAAACAGGAUUAGAUACCCCAGUAGUCCCUGUCUCUUAUAC